UACGGAGGGGACUAGCGUUGUUCGGAAUUACUGGGCGUAAAGCGCACGUAGGCGGCUUUGUAAGUCAGGGGUGAAAUCCCGGGGCUCAACCUCGGAACUGCCUUUGAUACUGCAAAUCUCGAGUCCGGAAGAGGUGAGUGGAAUUCCUAGUGUAGAGGUGAAAUUCGUAGAUAUUAGGAGGAACACCGAUGGCGAAGGCAGCCCCCUGGGCUAAGACUGACGCUGAGGCACGAAAGCGUGGGGAGCAAACAGG
rnacentral:rRNA from 1 species